UACGAAGGGGGCUAGCGUUGUUCGGAUUUACUGGGCGUAAAGCGCACGUAGGCGGAUUGGUCAGUUAGGGGUGAAAUCCCAGAGCUCAACUCUGGAACUGCCUUUAAUACUGCCAGUCUAGAGUCCGGAAGAGGUGAGUGGAACUCCUAGUGUAGAGGUGGAAUUCGUAGAUAUUAGGAAGAACACCAGUGGCGAAGGCGGCUCACUGGUCCGGUACUGACGCUGAGACGCGAAAGCGUGGGGAGCAAACAGG
rnacentral:rRNA from 1 species